AUCUUCAACAAUCAAAACAACAAUUCAGCAGAAAAUGGCUCCUGGCUACAAGAGAGCUGCAGAAGAGACAGGAGUUGGAUGUAUGGAGAGGAUGGAGGGCAUAAUAACAGAAACGAUUAAGCAGUUAAAAAAUCAUAUGUUCAGUGAGGCAAAAUCUGGAGCACUUGAGAUGUUUAAUGACUUAAAGCUGUAUAUAACAAACACCCUUGAAUCAGAGCUAAUGAAUUCAGUGGAGCGCUUCCUUUCCCAAACCAGCAACAUCUCCCUGAUGGGUAC